rnacentral:rRNA from 1 species
AGAGUUUGAUCCUGGCUCAGGACGAACGCUGGCGGUGUGCUUCACACAUGCAAGUCGAACGUGGUAGCAAUACCUAGUGGCGGACGGGUGAGUAACGCGUGGGAAUCUGCCUUUAGAUGGGGGAUAACGGGCCGAAAGGUUCGUUAAUACCGCAUAUGCCGCAAGGUGAAAGGAGUAAUCCGUCUAAAGAUGAGCCCGCGUCCGAUUAGCUAGUUGGUGGGGUAAAGGCCUACCAAGGCGACGAUCGGUAGCUGGUCUGAGAGGAUGAUCAGCCACAAUGGGACUGAGACACGGCCCAUACUCCUACGGGAGGCAGCAGUGGGGAAUUUUACGCAAUGGGGGAAACCCUGACGUAGCGACACCGCGUGAGCGAAGAAGCCCCUUGGGGUGUAAAGCUCUGUCAGCUGGAACGAAACAAAUGACGGUACCAGCAGAGGAAGCAUCGGCUAACUACGUGCCAGCAGCCGCGGUAAGACGUAGGAUGCGAGCGUUGUCCGGAUUUAUUGGGCGUAAAGAGUUCGUAGGUGGUUUGUUAAGUUUGAUGUUAAAGAUCGGGGCUCAACCUCGGGACAGCAUUGAAUACUGGCAGACUUGAGUAUGGUAGAGGCUAGUGGAAUUCCCAGUGUAGCGGUGAAAUGCGUAGA